UACGGGGGGGAGCAAGCGUUGUUCGGAUUUACUGGGCGUAAAGCGCACGUAGGCGGCUUACUAAGUCAGGGGUGAAAUCCUGGAGCUCAACUCCAGAACUGCCUUUGAUACUGGUGAGCUUGAGUCCGGAAGAGGUGAGUGGAACUGCGAGUGUAGAGGUGAAAUUCGUAGAUAUUCGCAAGAACACCAGUGGCGAAGGCGGCUCACUGGUCCGGUACUGACGCUGAGGCACGAAAGCGUGGGGAGCAAACAGG
rnacentral:rRNA from 1 species